UACGGGGGGGGCAAGCGUUGUUCGGAAUUACUGGGCGUAAAGGGCGCGUAGGCGGCCUUCUAAGUCGGACGUGAAAUCCCUCGGCUCAACCGAGGAACUGCGUCUGAUACUGGAAGGCUUGAAUCCGGGAGAGGGAUGUGGAAUUCCAGGUGUAGCGGUGAAAUGCGUAGAUAUCAGGAGGAACACCGGUGGCGAAGGCGGUGAUCUGGGCCAGUACUGACGCUGAGGAGCGAAAGCGUGGGUAGCAAACAGG
rnacentral:rRNA from 1 species